GAUGAACGCUGGCGGCGUGCUUAACACAUGCAAGUCGAACGAUGAAGCCCAGCUUGCUGGGUGGAUUAGUGGCGAACGGGUGAGUAACACGUGAGUAACCUGCCCUUAACUCUGGGAUAAGCCUGGGAAACUGGGUCUAAUACCGGAUAGGAGCGUCCACCGCAUGGUGGGUGUUGGAAAGAUUUAUCGGUUUUGGAUGGACUCGCGGCCUAUCAGCUUGUUGGUGAGGUAAUGGCUCACCAAGGCGACGACGGGUAGCCAGCCUGAGAGGGUGACCGGCCACACUGGGACUGAGACACGGCCCAGACUCCUACGGGAGGCAGCAGUGGGGAAUAUUGCACAAUGGGCGCAAGCCUGAUGCAGCGACGCCGCGUGAGGGAUGACGGCCUUCGGGUUGUAAACCUCUUUCAGUAGGGAAGAAGCGAAAGUGACGGUACCUGCAGAAGAAGCACCGGCUAACUACGUG
rnacentral:rRNA from 1 species